CCGUACCGCAAACCGACACUGGUGCGCGAGAUGAGUAUUCUAAGGCGCUUGAGAGAACUCGGGAGAAGGAACUCGGCAAAUUGACACCGUAACUUCGGAAGAAGGUGUGCCUUUAGUAGGUGAAGGGAUUUACUCCUGGAGCCCAAUGAGGUUGCAAAAAAUCGGUGGCUGCGACUGUUUAUUAAAAACACAGCACUCUGCAAACACGAAAGUGGACGUAUAGGGUGUGACGCCUGCCCGGUGCUGGAAGAUUAAAUGAUGGGGUGCAAGCUCUUGAUUGAAGUCCCAGUAAACGGCGGCCGUAACUAUAACGGUCCUAAGGUAGCGAAAUUCCUUGUCGGGUAAGUUCCGACCUGCACGAAUGGCGUAACGAUGGCCACACUGUCUCCUCCCGAGACUCAGCGAAGUUGAAAUGUUUGUGAUGAUGCAAUCUCCCCGCGGAAAGACGGAAAGACCCCAUGAACCUUUACUGUAGCUUUGUAUUGGACUUUGAACAGAUCUGUGUAGGAUAGGUGGGAGGCUUUGAAGCAGGGUCGCUAGAUCUUGUGGAGCCAACGUUGAAAUACCACCCUGGUGUGUUUGAGGUUCUAACCUAGGUCCAUUAUCUGGAUCGGGGACAGUGCAUGGUAGGCAGUUUGACUGGGGCGGUCUCCUCCCAAAGCGUAACGGAGGAGUUCGAAGGUACGCUAGGUACGGUCGGACAUCGUGCUAAUAGUGCAAUGGCAUAAGCGUGCUUAACUGCGAGAUUGACAAGUCGAGCAGAUGCGAAAGCAGGACAUAGUGAUCCGGUGGUUCUGUAUGGAAGGGCCAUCGCUCAACGGAUAAAAGGUACUCUGGGGAUAACAGGCUGAUACCGCCCAAGAGUUCAUAUCGACGGCGGUGUUUGGCACCUCGAUGUCGGCUCAUCUCAUCCUGGGGCUGUAGCCGGUCCCAAGGGUAUGGCUGUUCGCCAUUUAAAGAGGUACGUGAGCUGGGUUUAAAACGUCGUGAGACAGUUUGGUCCCUAUCUUCCGUGGGCGCUGCAGAUUUGAGGAAGCCUGCUCCUAGUACGAGAGGACCGGAGUGGACGCACCUCUGGUGUAUCGGUUGUCACGCCAGUGGCAUUGCCGAGUAGCUAUGUGCGGAAGAGAUAACCGCUGAAAGCAUCUAAGCGGGAAACUCGUUUCAAGAUGAGAUCUGCCGGGGCCUUGAGCCCCCUAAAGAGUCGUUCAAGACCAGGACGUUGAUAGGUCAGGUUGGAAGCGCAGUAAUGCGUUAAGCUAACUGAUACUAAUUGCUCGUGCGGCUUGACCU
rnacentral:rRNA from 1 species